rnacentral:tRNA from 1 species
GGCUGGUUAGCUCAGUUGGUUAGAGCGUGGUGCUAAUAACGCUAAGGUUCAAUCCCCGUACGGGCCA